ACGGCUCAGUAACACGUGGAUAACCUGCCCUUGGGUCCGGCAUAACCCCGGGAAACUGGGGAUAAUUCCGGAUAACGCACAUAUGCUGGAAUGCUUUAUGCGUAAAAUGGAUUCGUCUGCCCAAGGAUGGGUCUGCGGCCUAUCAGGUAGUAGUGGGUGUAAUGUACCUACUAGCCAAUAACGGGUACGGGUUGUGAGAGCAAGAGCCCGGAGAUGGAUUCUGAGACAUGAAUCCAGGCCCUACGGGGCGCAGCAGGCGCGAAAACUUUACAAUGCGGGAAACCGUGAUAAGGGGACACCGAGUGCCAGCAUUAUAUGCUGGCUGUCCAGGUGUGUAAAAUACACCUGUUAGCAAGGGCCGGGCAAGACCGGUGCCAGCCGCCGCGGUAACACCGGCGGCCCGAGUGGUGAUCGUGAUUAUUGGGUCUAAAGGGUCCGUAGCCGGUUUGGUCAGUCCUCCGGGAAAUCUGACGGCUCAACCGUUAGGCUUUCGGGGGAUACUGCCAGGCUUGGAACCGGGAGAGGUAAGAGGUACUACAGGGGUAGGAGUGAAAUCUUGUAAUCCCUGUGGGACCACCUGUGGCGAAGGUGUCUUACCAGAACGGGUUCGACGGUGAGGGACGAAAGCUGGGGGCACGAACCGGAUUAGAUACCCGGGUAGUCCCAGCCGUAAACGAUGCUCGCUAGGUGUCAGGCAUGGCGCGACCGUGUCUGGUGCCGCAGGGAAGCCGUGAAGCGAGCCACCUGGGAAGUACGGCCGCAAGGCUGAAACUUAAAGGAAUUGGCGGGGGAG
rnacentral:rRNA from 1 species